rnacentral:rRNA from 1 species
GAUGAACGCUGGCGGCGUGCUUAACACAUGCAAGUCGAACGGAAAGGCCCUGCUUUUGUGGGGUGCUCGAGUGGCGAACGGGUGAGUAACACGUGAGUAACCUGCCCUUGACUUUGGGAUAACUUCAGGAAACUGGGGCUAAUACCGGAUAGGAGCUCCUGCUGCAUGGUGGGGGUUGGAAAGUUUCGGCGGUUGGGGAUGGACUCGCGGCUUAUCAGCUUGUUGGUGGGGUAGUGGCUUACCAAGGCUUUGACGGGUAGCCGGCCUGAGAGGGUGACCGGCCACAUUGGGACUGAGAUACGGCCCAGACUCCUACGGGAGGCAGCAGUGGGGAAUAUCGCACAAUGGGCGGAAGCCUGAUGCAGCAACGCCGCGUGCGGGAUGACGGCCUUCGGGUUGUAAACCGCUUUCGCCUGCGACGAAGCGUGAGUGACGGUAAUGGGUAAAGAAGCACCGGCUAACUACGUG